rnacentral:rRNA from 1 species
CCAAUAGCGUAUAUUAAAGUUGCUGCAGUUAAAAAGCUCGUAGUUGAAUUUCGGGACUAAUAUGUCGGUCGUGCCUAGGUACGUACUGGCUUAUUGGUUUCUCCUUUCUGAAGAACCAUGAUGUCAUUUAUUUGGUGUCGUGGGGAAUCAGGACUGUUACUUUGAAAAAAUUAGAGUGUUUAAAGCAGGCUCACGCUUGA